GACGAACGCUGGCGGCGUGCUUAACACAUGCAAGUCGAACGGAAAGGCCCUGCUUUUGUGGGGUGCUCGAGUGGCGAACGGGUGAGUAACACGUGAGUAACCUGCCCUUGACUUUGGGAUAACUUCAGGAAACUGGGGCUAAUACCGGAUAGGAGCUCCUGCUGCAUGGUGGGGGUUGGAAAGUUUCGGCGGUUGGGGAUGGACUCGCGGCUUAUCAGCUUGUUGGUGGGGUAGUGGCUUACCAAGGCUUUGACGGGUAGCAGGCCUGAGAGGGUGACCGGCCACAUGGGGACUGAGAUACGGCCCAGACUCCUACGGGAGGCAGCAGUGGGGAAUAUUGCACAAUGGGCGGAAGCCUGAUGCAGCAACGCCGCGUGCGGGAUGACGGCCUUCGGGUUGUAAACCGCUUUCGCCUGUGACGAAGCGUGAGUGACGGUAAUGGGUAAAGAAGCACCGGCUAACUACGUG
rnacentral:rRNA from 1 species